GGAUGUAAGGGCGAUCUGGCUGUGACAUCUGUCACCCCAUUGAUCACCAGGGUUGAUUCGGUUCAUCUGGCUGGCUAGGCAGGUGUCCCCUUCCUCCCUUACUGUGGCUCCAUGUUUGUCCCUCCGAAGCUGCUUGCUUGAUCAGAGAGGAUGACCACCUGUGAUAGAAGAAGACUGUUUCCUCAGUCAAGGGUACAGUAGAUGCACUCUCCUGCUACAACUUCCAAACAAGCCUUCAAGGACAGAAGCCAAGUGCUGUGUGAGCUCCUCGCUAUGGUACCACUGGGGUACUUAUAAGU
ensembl:misc_RNA 7SK 7SK RNA